rnacentral:rRNA from 1 species
CCUACGGGUGGCAGCAGUGGGGAAUAUUGGGCAAUGGGCGCAAGCCUGACCCAGCAACGCCGCGUGAAGGAAGAAGGCUUUCGGGUUGUAAACUUCUUUGAAGAGGGAAGAGCAGAAGACGGUACCUCUGGAAUAAGCCACGGCUAACUACGUGCCAGCAGCCGCGGUAAUACGGAGGUGGCAAGCGUUGUCCGGAUUUACGGGGUGGAAAGGGCGUGUAGCCGGGCUGACCAGUCAGAUGUGAAAUCCCGUGGCUCAACCCCGGAACGGCAUUUGAAACUGUCGGUCUUGAGUAUCGGAGAGGCAGUCGGAAUUCCUCGUGUAGCGGUGACCUGCGUAGAUAUUAGGAUGAACCCCAGUUGCGCAGGCGGCCUGCUGGACGACAACUGACGGUGAGGCGCG